CUUGUUCCUGCUGUACCGAACAGUCCCUUUCCGUGUGUCUUCAGAGACUAGAUCAGUAAAUAUCCAGCCAACCUUUCUCAGUCCAAGCUUGGCAGCAAUCUCAUCCACAACCUCUGCUUUUGGAUCUUCCAGGAUCUCCAGGCUGUUCUGUGUACCGAUCUGUGGGGGUUCAUAGAUGGCAGCCACCUCCGCCCUGAUCCCCAGAG
rnacentral:lncRNA from 1 species